GCGAGGAGUGGGCACGGCAGACCAUCCGCUACCUGGCUGACUGCGAGCUGCACAAAAAGAUGGCUACAUUUGUCCUCUCUGCAGCCAUAUACCCUCCUCCACCACCCUUCAGGCCCCUUCCACUCGCCCAGUGGUUUGAGACAGUCCACUCCAACGACAUCCUCAGCCACGUGGAGGAGAUGAAGGGUGUGAUCACCUCAACGUAUGGGAGAAUCCUGAAAAUGGACUCCACAAAGAAGGUCACCAAGAAGCUGGCUGGUGCAAUCGGGGACAGUGCCGCCUGGAUGUCGAACAUCGGCAACGAGUUUGGCCAGGUGUUGAACUCUGUGCUGACGACGGGUGAAGGUGCAGGGUUAGAGGAGUUGUGCCAGGGCGUCGUCACCCGGUAUAGGAAUGCGGGCCAACCUGAACCUGAGGCCAUCUAUGUUGAUCGGGACUGCUGCAGCCAGUCAGGUGUGUCUGCAGUGGCGAAACUCUUUCGCCCAUGGAGGUCUGCAGUGCGCCUGGAUAGCUUCCAUUUUAUGAGGCGCUUUAACUGCGGCCUCACAACCGAACACCACCCUCUCUAUGGCACCUUUUGUGCCAAGCUUUCCGCCUGCAUUUUUCUCUGGGACCAGGAGGAUGUGCAACGCCUGAAGGAGGCCAAGAGAGCGGAGUGGAAGAGCAGCCACAGCGGACAUACUCCCACUGACGACCAGCUCAUGGCCACCAUCAGCCCAGCUGAAAUGAAGAGGCAGUGCAGGAGGAGGAUGCGUGGAGUGGAGGAGAUGCGGAGCAGUAUUUCAGGGCUCCUGGAAUCUGUGUGGGAGCUCACAGACACCACAGGGCUGCGUCUGGUGAGCCAUGACAGCAUGCGCCACGUGUGGGAAGUACAGCAGAAGCACCUGGAGUGCCUCCAAGACCCUGCAGGUGUUGCACUUUACACGAAGGUGGGGACACUCCAGAAGGGCGGCAAGGAGCUGGACAUCCUUAGGUGUGGUAGGGGGUCCUCCUCCCUGGAGAGUUUCCACCGGCACCAGUGUGCUUUCAUUCCAGGUACAUUUGCAUGUGUUGUGAUUAUUCAAAAUAGCACAAUUACCACUGACGGGUAUUCAUAUGUAUUCACUUUACAAUAACGGUUGACUGGACAGAGUGUUUUGUUUCUUAGGCAGGCGGUGCAAUGCGGUGCACAUGCAAAUGUACAUGCUGGAGGGUAUAUCAAGAUGGAACAUGGGCCGGGCCAAGGAGGCAGUAGAUGUGGAGGGGGCCUCCACCCUAAGAAGCUUUGAUGUUCGGUUGAUGUCCCACCUUAACAAUCUAAGCCAGCGUGUGCAUGGUUGUGCUCUGGUGCCAGAGUUCACCCUUCCUGGGAAACCUACUGGCGAACGCAUAGCCGUGGAAUAUUUAUUGGAGCAGACCAAUAGAGGCGACCUGCUGGCUCCAUCACAGGCCUCCAUCUCAGAAAUCCCCUUGCUGGUGCUGGAGGAGGAGGAGGAGGAGGAGACGGAGGAGGAUGAUGCCAUCAGCAUGCCUGCCAUCAGCAUGCCUGCCAUCAGCAUGCCUGCCAUCAGCAUGCCUGCCUCUGUCACAGAGACCAGCCAAUGUGAUUCGAGGGGCGUUCCGGGGUGGGACGCAGUAGAUGCCCUUGCUGCCUACCUACUCAAAUUAAACCGCACCAUCACGGCCUUGUCAGCCAAGGAGGAGGCGGACAUAGUUCGCCUGUACACGGCUUUACAUGCGAUGGAUCGGAAACCUUCAAGGUACACCCAGAAGGCAAAGAAGAAAUCGCAUGCGUCAGGAGGACUAUGGAGAGCGCCGAGGAAGCCGAGUGGCUCUGCUCCUGGACAGCAGGCGGCAGAGAGGCUGUACAUGACUCAUGGCCAAGCAGCCCAUGACCCCGAAGUUCACAGGGUCUGUGAGUGUGUCUGCCUCAGACUCUUAAAAGAGUUUGAGCAGUCACGCAACAGGCCAAAGGACACAAAGGGGAAAACAAUGCCCAUCCCUCAGUCCAUCGUAAGCGUGUACAGCCACAUCAAACAGCUGCUGGAGGACAGCAGGGUUGUCUGUGAUGACACAGACCUGGUUCUGGUCCCAGUAAACAACACCACAGUCUCUUCAUGGCUGCUUAGGAGGGAUAAAAGGAAGGACAGGGACAUGCUGCUGCAAGGCACUGUACUGCCCAAACAGGUGCACCUGGCAGAGGAGCCUCUCCCUGCUCUGAACACCCUUCCGGCUGCCCCUGUGCAACAUGCACAUGGGGCAAUGACAUUUGAGGAGCCUGAAAAUCGCAAGGGGGAAGCUUUCCCCCGCCAGCGCACUCUAGCGGCGAACAAGCCUCCGCCAUCUCCACCUCCCCUGUUCCCUCCACAAUUUGGGCCACUUCCUCCAUUUCCUCAUCUUCCCCCAUAUCCGCACUUUCCAUUUCCAUAUCCUCAUGCACCUCCACUUCCUCAUGCUCCUCCAUUUUACAUUUCUACUCCAUAUCCUCAUGCUCCUCCAUAUGCUCCUCCAUAUCCUCAUGCUCCUCCAUUUCAUGCUCCUCCACUUCCUCAAGCUCCUCCGUUUCCUAAUUCCCUAUCUCCUGAUGCUCCUCCAUCCCAGCCAAGGCAACGCGCCUGGAGGCUCAAUAAAGCUGCCCAGGAGGAUGAGGAGCUUACGUCAAGGGGGGAUCCGGCACGGAAGAGGCUGAGAAAAGAAAACUACCACUAUACCUGCAAGGGGUGCGGUCAGGCCAAAAAUAAAGUCACUGGACACACCCAGCUGAAGGGGCGGUGGUAUUGUCCUGCCUCAGGAAUGACCCUGGAAGAGUGGAGGAAUAGUGUGUAGUUGCUGUCUUUCUGUCUGUCUGUCUGUCUCUCUGUUGUUUGUCUCUGUCUCUCUGUCUGUCUCUCUGUUGUUCGUCUCUGUCGUUAAAAUAAAGUUUAAUAAUUGUAUUUGAG
ensembl:lncRNA